GUAUUGGGCUCCUUACCCCCCCAUAUGCCCAGUUUGAGCUGGGACUUGUCGAGGUUUUCCACAUAGUCGCCCAGGAAGCGGUUCAGCAGCGCACAGAAAAAAGCUAUUGCUGUUAAUCUAGCUGUCCAAGUGACAUGAACACUGGCAGACAAAGGGAACACAAACAAGAAUGCUGAUCUUAAAAAAGACAUCUUUCAGGGAGUUAAUGGCACUACAGAUAAUGUAGAUGACAACAUACAGCCCUGUGUGGUAAAUCUGCAGUGUUGACUGUUCAAAUCCAUCAAAUCCAUUUAUAUCAUAGGAAAUCAUCAAUGCAAGAAAACAAGAUGGAAAAUUGUACACAGCUCCUGCUGUUAGGUAACAAACCUCCAUUUGUGAUAAUUUUUAUCAAGCUUUAAAAGACCUUCACUUAUUUCUCUUUUUAUAUAUAAACCAUGAAGAAAACUUCAUGGUUGAAGUUUUGAGUAAAAGCUCAUGACAGCUUAUGCUCUUAUAUAGGAGUAUAUAAGAGCAAUUGUGCAAAUCAGUGGCACUAAAUAUUUUCUAUAACAAUCGUGGAACAUAAACAGGAAUAUAUAUCCAUUUUCUCUGCAUUUCAUAAGAAUCAUAAUGAUUUCUGCACAGCAAAAAGCAACAAUCAAUUUAUCACAGCUAUGAAUUAUUGGGAAAAAAAAAAGAAGAAAACAGCUUGUGUGUGGUCAAAUCAUUUCCUAGUUAACCAAAAUGAUUUUUGAAAAUCAUCUUGUUAAAGCACGCAUUUGAGUAGAUUAAAUUACUAUUGCUCUUUACAAACAUGCUUCCCUAACAAACAGAAAUAUGUGGCCUAGUGGAUCAAAAAUUGCUCACAAAAUAAUGUGAUUUCACCUGGAAAAGAAGCCCCAGAAAGCCAAGUCUGUUUCAAAUAUUCUGUUUCAGUAAAAUCUACAUGUAUUAAAAGCAUAAAGGGAAACAGAAUGGAAUUAUGAAUGGAUGAACUGUAAAGAAGGCAGUUUUAAUAGAUAUUUUAUCAACCAUAGACAUCUGUGCAGUUACUUGUAAUUACUGAGAUAUUUUUGGUAAAUAAAGAUGCAUAAUUUUGCACCUUUAUUACCAAACAAUCCUUUGGUAAUCUUCAUGAGCCUCCCUUGCAGAUAGGAUGCCACUCAAAAAUGACAUUAAUGCACCUUCUGUCUGUUGGUAGGUACCAUUCCUUCUGUGUUCUCAAUUAAAAAGAUAAACAGUCCAAAAUAAAUUAAAAAAAAAAAUUACAUGACGUAUGAGUUCUGUAUCUAGAAUAACAGAUACAGGACAAGCAGAAACUUUGGUAUUUGCUUACCAUUCAUUGAAUACACAGAUAAUGGUCAUUCACUGCAGGAGAAAAACAUGCAUUUUGCCUAUUUUUUCUAAAUACCAACGUUGAAUAGACAUGCCUGACUUGAUAAAUGUGAAUGGAAUCACUAGUUUCACUCAGCUGAAAGUCAUGAAAACAUGUUCCUUGUGUGUUAUGGUAGCAUUUCAUUAAAUAGAAGGAUCUGAUCACUCCAUCACUGCAUAAUAAUUUCGUAAAAGGAAAACCAAUACAGCACUGUAACACAACUUAUUUACAUGGCAAGAUUUGCUCAGAUCCCUGAGUUAAGACUUUUUUAAAAAAUAAACCUUAAAAAAAAAAAAUCUGCAUUGAAAGUUUAAAGUUUAAAACUUCAGUUUUGUGAAUAGACCUUCACAUUGUAACAACAAAUAUUUGCUUGGUAUUGCCUGUUACACAAUUUUGUACACAUAAAUAAAUGAUAGUCACAUCAUAAUGCU